UACGAAGGGGGCUAGCGUUGCUCGGAAUCACUGGGCGUAAAGGGCGCGUAGGCGGCCAUUCAAGUCGGGGGUGAAAGCCUGUGGCUCAACCACAGAAUUGCCUUCGAUACUGUUUGGCUUGAGUUUGGUAGAGGUUGGUGGAACUGCGAGUGUAGAGGUGAAAUUCGUAGAUAUUCGCAAGAACACCAGUGGCGAAGGCGGCCAACUGGACCAACACUGACGCUGAGGCGCGAAAGCCGGGGGAGCGAACAGG
rnacentral:rRNA from 1 species